rnacentral:rRNA from 1 species
GCCCUUUGAAAGGUUUUAACCAAAAAAUAAAGGGUACUGCCUGCCCAGUGACGUAGUAGUUUAACGGCCGCGGUAUCUUGACCGUGCAAAGGUAGCAUAAUCAUUUGCCUUUUAAAUGGAGGCUGGAAUGAAUGGCAAGACGGAAAUUUGGCUGUCUCUUUCUUAAUAACCCUGAAUUUUAUAUCCUAGUGAAGAAGCUAGGAUAGGAUCGUGGGACGAGAAGACCCUGUUGAGCUUUAACAAUAAGAGUAUCCACAAUUUUUUUAUUAUUAACUAAUUAAAGCAAAAGAAGCAGUUUGUUUAUGGAUCUAUUUUUAAUAUAAAAGGUGUUUUACUUGUGUUGUUUUGGUUGGGGCAACCGCGGAGUAUAAGAAACCUCCGCUUUAAAAAGUGAAAAAGUACAGUUUUUGUUUAGGAAGUUUCUAUUAAGUGAUCCACCACGUAAGGUGAUCAAAGGAAAAAGUUACCACAGGGAUAACAGCGUAAUUUUUUUGGAGAGUUCAUAUUGAUAAAAAAGUUUGCGACCUCGAUGUUGGAUCGAGACUUCCUGGGGGUGCAGCAGCUCCCAAGGGUUGGUCUGUUCGACCAUUAAAGUC